GUAUGACGCCAUCGGCAGGGGCCGCACAGUGUGGCCGCCAUGGGGAAGAGCCGUUCGCGGGCGGCCAAGGCGGCCUGCGUCUUCCGUAUCGCCCGGAGCGGUGCCGCCAAGGCCAAGACCAAGGGCAAGGCGCGGCCCGUCACCUCUGGGCUGAAGCAGAUAAACAUUAGAAACGCUGAGAAAGUUAGCACAAUAAAUAAAGCAUUUGCCGAAGUUCAGAAGGAAGUACAACACCUAUCGAAGAGCACUGCAGCAGAGCCCCAGAAGAGUCAGAAGGCUUCCACAAAUCUGGAAGAUGAACCAGCAAACGUAGAUGCUGCCACAAGCCUGCUAUCUCAGCUGUAAUGCACAACGGACCGUGGAGAGUUUAGAAUUUGCUGGAGUGACAGCUGUGGAAUAGAAACUGAAUCUGUCCUUCCAUAGCAAAGGAGCUCCUGAAACUUCCAUGAGAAAGACAUGUUACUCUCUUCUCCCACCCAUCUGGAGCAGGAAAAACCCUGGACCCACCUGAUGGUGUGUCUGCAUCUGAUGUUUGUGGUAACUCUUGUCCUUGGUUCAGAUCAUGUGUUUCUGGUGGACUCUGCGGAGCUGGUGCAGGUUUAAGGGGAGUUGCUGCAGCUGCAGGUUGAGAUGAGGGCUGUGCAAGGUCAUCAGGUGGAGGAACUGGAAACACCAUGGGCUUGGAGGAGCUUGAUUCCUUAUUUAUAAGCAGCACAUGGAUAGGUCCUGAACUACUUUUAAGAUUGAUUUGGUAUUUCUUCUGUCCAUUCUGCCCCUGUAAAGGUGGUAUACCGUCAAGGUUACCAUUCCCUGUGGACUUCACAAAAUGCAACAGGAAUGCACAGAGUUAUUUCCAAAAGAAAGCAACAAAGAUGUUUGAAAACUGGUUCUCAAACUGAGACAGAAGGUACAGUGCCCUUCUAGUCAGAGCACUGGAAGAGCUUACACCAAAUAAACAAAAGCUUUAAAACUAA